rnacentral:rRNA from 1 species
AGAGUUUGAUCCUGGCUCAGAAUGAACGCUGGCGGCGUGCUUAACACAUGCAAGUCGCACGAGAACCCCCCUGCUUGCAGGGGAUAGUAAAGUGGCGCACGGGUGAGUAGCGCGUGGAUAAUCUGCCUCCGAAUCUGGGAUAACCCUACGAAAGUGGGGCUAAUACCGGAUAACAUCCCGGGGUCCACGGAACCUGGGAUCAAAGGGUGCCUCUACAUGUAAGCUUCUGUUCGGAGAGGAGUCCGCGUACCAUUAGCUUGUUGGUGAGGUAACGGCCCACCAAGGCAACGAUGGUUAGCUGGUCUGAGAGGAUGGCCAGCCACACUGGAACUGACACACGGUCCAGACUCCUACGGGAGGCAGCAGUGAGGAAUCUUGCGCAAUGGGGGAAACCCUGACGCAGCAACGCCGCGUGAGUGAUGAAGGCCCUCGGGUCGUAAAGCUCUGUCAAGUGGGAAGAACCCGCCGGGUGCAAAUAGCACGCGGCGCUGACGGUACCACUGAAGGAAGCACCGGCUAACUCCGUGCCAGCAGCCGCGGUAAUACGGAGGGUGCAAGCGUUAUUCGGAUUUAUUGGGCGUAAAGAGCACGUAGGCGGCCGCCUAAGUCAGAUGUGAAAGCCCGGGGCUCAACCCCGGAAGUGCAUUUGAUACUGGGCGGCUUGAGUAUGGGAGAGGGAAGUGGAAUUCCUGGUGUAGAGGUGAAAUUCGUAGAUAUCAGGAGGAACAUCGGUGGCGAAGGCGACUUCCUGGACCAAUACUGACGCUCAGGUGCGAAGGCGUGGGGAGCAAACAGGAUUAGAUACCCUGGUAGUCCACGCGGUAAACGUUGAUCACUAGGUGUAGCGGGUAUUGACCCCUGCUGUGCCGCAGCUAACGCAUUAAGUGAUCCGCCUGGGGAGUACGGCCGCAAGGUUAAAACUCAAAGGAAUUGACGG